rnacentral:ncRNA from 1 species
GCUUGAGGACGACCUCAAGUGCGUAUCAGCAACAGGGACGGCCCU